CCCUUAGAUGUUCUGGGCCGCACGCGUGCUACACUGAGUGGAUCAGCGGGUCAGGUUGCGCGAAAGUGUUUCCUAAUCUUGAAAUCCGCUCGUGAUGGGGAUUGACGGUUGCAAUUUUCCGUCAUGAACGAGGAAUACCUUGUAAGCGCGGGUCAUCAUCCCGCGCUGAAUACGUCCCUGCCCUCUGUACACACCGCCCGUCGCUCCUACCGAUUGAGUGGUCCGGUGAGGCUUUGGGAUCUGAGCAAAGAGAGCGUUUCGCUCGUUUUGCCCGGAAAACUCAGUCGAACCUUAUCAUUUAGAGGAAGGAGAAGUCGUAACA
rnacentral:rRNA from 1 species